UGGUAGUGUAUUGGACUACCAUGGCAGUCACGGGUAACGGAGAAUUAGGGUUCGAUUCCGGAGAGGGAGCCUGAGAAACGGCUACCACAUCUAAGGAAGACAGCAGGCGCGUAAAUUACCCAAUCCCGAUUCGGGGAGGUAGUGACAAGAAAUAGCAACUCGUGCGGGUUUCCGUUACGGGAUUGCAAUGAGAUAAGUCCAAAUCCGUGAACGAUUAACAAUUGGAGGGCAAGUCUGGUGCCAGCAGCCGCGGUAAUUCCAGCUCCAAUAGCGUAUACUUAAGUUGUUGCAGUUAAAAAGCUCGUAGUUGAAAUUCGAGUCAGUUACUAGUUGGCUUUUCGUCAGUUAGUUAAUUGAUUCUCCGUCUACAAUCCCUUCUGCGCUUUAGGGUUGCAGCUGGGCGAGUAGACAAUUUACCUUGAAAAAAUUAGAGUGUUCCAGGCAGGUCUUCGCCGGAAUACAUUAGCAUGGAAUAAUGGAAUAGGACUUGGGUCUUUUGUUGGUUUUAGGACUUGAGUAAUGAUUAAUAGGGACAGAUGGGGGCAUUAGUAUUUAAUUGUCAGAGGUGAAAUUCUUGGAUUUAUAAAAGACUAACUUAUGCGAAAGCAUUUGCCAAGGAUGUUUUCAUUAAUCAAGAACGAAAGUUAAUGGAUCAAAGACGAUCAGA
rnacentral:rRNA from 1 species